AUGGAAGGAUGGCAUCCGGUUGCGUACCUCAGCAAAGCGUUGGCUCCACGAAAUUUAGGCCUAUCGGCAUACAAGAAAGAGUGCUUGGUUCUGCUUCUGGCCAUCGACCACUGGUGGCCCUAUCUACAGCAUUCAGAGUUCAUGGUCCGCACCGAUCAAAACAGCCUGCUGAACCUGAUGGACCAAUGGCUCAACACCCCAAUUCAGCAAAGGGCGUUUACGAAGCUGAUUGGCCUUCAAUACACCAUUCAGUACAAAACGGGAGUGACAAAUCGAGCGGCUGAUGUGCUGUCACGACGCGAACACAAACCAGAGGCAGAAAUGGCCGUUAUCUCCAUCUGUAAACCUACCUGGCUGGAAGCUAUUAAGCGCAGCUAUCAGACAGAUCCACUGGCACAGCAACGCAUGACAAAGCUAGCACUGGUGCCGGACAGCGAGCCUGACUACACCUCCCAGGAUGACAUUCUGCACUGCCGAGGGAGAGUGUGGAUUGGAGAAGAUACUGACACCCAACAACACUUGAUACGAGCUCUCCAUGACAGUGCCGCGGGCGGGCAUUCGGGCUUCCAUGCCACCUACAACCGAGUCAAGCGACUGUUCGCAUGGAAAGGGAUGAAGCUGCAUGUCAAGGCCUUGGUGCGCAACUGUUGGUCUGCUAGCAAGCAAAAACAGAGCGCAUCUCCCCAGCUGGACUUCUCCAACCAUUGCCAAUACCACAAGAACCCUGGUCAGUUAUCUUGCUUGAUUUCAUUGAAGGGUAGCCCCGGUCAGGAGGGUACGACACUGUUCUGGUGGCGGUGGAUAAGUUCUCCAAAUACGCACAUUUCGUGCCUCUGA
rnacentral:rRNA from 1 species